GGGAUAACGUGACGCGUCUACUGCUACACUGUGUGAAUAUAGCUUGAACCGUACUCUGCUGCUACGGUGAGUGAAAGAGGAAUAGCAUAGUAUUCCCAUGUCACCCUACUGCGGUGAGUACAUUCUGCAGGGCCUUGUACUCACCCGACGUCACACCAUGGAAGUUGGCCCUGCCCGACUCCGAUUACUCGACCCUUGUGGAAGACGACGUCUAACGUGGAGCUGAAGACUGGGGUGAAGUCGUAACAAGGUAGCCGUACCGGAAGGUGCGGCUGGAUCACCUCCUAA
rnacentral:rRNA from 1 species